CCGUAGCCCAAGAGAUCGGGAUAACACCUGGAAACAGAUGCUAAUACCGGAUAACAACAGAUGAUGCCUAUCAACUGUUUAAAAGAUGGUUCUGCUAUCACUCUUGGAUGGACCUGCGGUGCAUUAGCUAGUUGGUAGGGUAACGGCCUACCAAGGCGAUGAUGCAUAGCCGAGUUGAGAGACUGAUCGGCCACAUUGGGACUGAGACACGGCCCAAACUCCUACGGGAGGCAGCAGACG
rnacentral:rRNA from 1 species